CACGUAGUCGGCUUGUCAAGUCGGGUGUGAAAUCCCCGGGCUCAACCUGGGAACUGCAUCCGAAACUGACUUGCUAGAGUAUGGGAGAGGGAGGCGGAAUUUCUGGUGUAGCAGUGAAAUGCGUAGAUAUCAGAAGGAACAUCAGUGGCGAAGGCGGCCUCCUGGACCAAUACUGACGAUCAGGUGCGAAAGCGUGGGGAGCAAACAGGAUUAGAUACCCUGGUAGUCC
rnacentral:rRNA from 1 species